AUGUCUGAAAGGUUCUGUAGAAUUCCUAAAGAGAGUAGAGUACCUGUUUUUGAGAAAAAUCUCAGUGUAGAGGCCUACUGGAAAGGCAACACAUCUAGUAGAAGAAAUCUUUUGUACACAGGCUAUAGUAACAAAAAUACCUCCAAGGCAACUGAAGGCAUGGUGGUCAAGGUCAUUAAGGCUGUAAACAACCUUACCGUGAAAGAAAAAGGUGAAGCAUCAUCCUCGACUUCGGCCAUCCUAUUGACUGGAGGACCAGUCCAGGGAGGCCACGCCCUCGGCCAGGAGGGCCGGGGGCAGGUGCCUUCGUUGCCGGCACCCGUGGUAGCUGCUUCGAGUCAGGCGGACCCGGAUCACAGACCACUCAAGCACGCUAGCCUUGGCCAGGAAGGCCAAGGAUUGGCGGCCAGGAGUGUGCCCAUCAGGGGGGUGCUGGCACUUGGCCAGGAGGGCCGACUCGGGGCGUCCCUGCACUCUAAGCGGGGGGAUGGCCCUGGUCAGGAGGACCAGGGUGCACGCUUGGGUGCCCCUACACCACCACUGCACCAAGGCCAGGAGGGCCAUGUGCGGCUGCACCUGGGAGCGCCCCCAUAUUCCCAAGUGAUGGCUGCUGCUGCUGCCAAUCCGGAGUGUCCUGUUGGCCAGGAAGGCCAGGGGAUCCACUCGAAGGGUGCAGCUAAUGCAGUUUCUGAUGCGGCUGCCACUUUUAACAUGCAUAAUCAAGUUUUAUUUGAGCCUGGGGUGCUUGAGGCACUUACAGGAGCUCUGGUUGCGAGGCUAGCUAGCCCAGCUACGGCCAAGGAGUCUGGAGUGUUUACUUUCACUGCUAAAAAGAAUCCUAUGCACGGCCAAGCAAAAAGAAAGGAGAGGAAAGGUAAAAAGAAGGGAGGGGAUGAGAAAGCUGAAAGUGCUCGAAAAGAGAUCAUAGGGAAAAAGAGGGGUAAUCCUUUUGGGGUUCCACCAACAGGGAGUGACCAAAUUUUUUCUUUUGAGAGGGAAAUGGAUAGCUAUGAGCGUGUGCUGUAUGGUGACAUGAGUGUUUCUUCCAAGAGAGUCUGUAUGGGUAGAGUUGACACUGAGGAGGCAUACAUGCAACAGAGGAGGGAGUCGGUUGGAGAUGAUGGCACAUCGGCGGCCUCCGAGGAGGAGGACCGCCGGGCCAAAUGA
rnacentral:rRNA from 1 species